UGAUCUGCCCUGCACUUCGGGAUAAGCUUGGGAAACUGGGUCUAAUACCGGAUAGGACCAUAUGCUGCAUGGUGUGUGGUGGAAAGUUUUUAACGGUGUGGGAUGGGCCCGCGGCCUAUCAGUUUGUUGGUGGGGUGAUG
rnacentral:rRNA from 1 species